rnacentral:rRNA from 1 species
UACGUAGGGGGCAAGCGUUGUUCGGAAUGACUGGGCGUAAAGGGUGCGUAGGCGGUGUAGCAAGUUAGAAGUGAAAUACCUAGAGCUUAACUCAGGUGCUGCUUCUAAAACUGCUAUACUUGAGUGCAGUAGAGGAAAGUGGAAUUCCAUGUGUAGCGGUGAAAUGCGUAGAUAUAUGGAGGAACACCGGUGGCGAAAGCGGCUCUCUGGCCUGUAACUGACACUGAGGCUCGAAAGCGUGGGGAGCAAACAGG